rnacentral:lncRNA from 1 species
CUGUGCCAACUUGUUUCACCAUGUUAAACUGCAUACAUACCCAUGAACUAUUUAUUUACAAUACAUUUGAUCUCGUUAAGACCCCAGUUCUAUUUCCAAGGCAUGCAGCCCAAAACCAAAAAGUUAAAAGAUGAUAACACUCUGUGGUUGAAUUACCUAUGGAAAAGAAUGAAGGCAGUUCACUCUGUUUAAGAUGUGGAGAAUUUCCUACAAAUAGUUAAGGUGAAAUAAAAUCAUUAAUAGAGAGUAGGUUCCUUCCAUUUGAGUAAGUGAUCUAGAAUAUGGGAUACCACGGUUCUUUUUAGAGCAUUUUCAGUGUAGCCUCAUUAACUUCUCCAAUUUAAUACGACAUACAUACUUCUUCCACCUGAACAUAAAAUUCAAGAAUAGGAGCAUCCUACAUCUUUCAUUCUUUCCAAACAUUACCUCUUUAGUAAAUUCGGGUUGCUAUAACAAAAUACCAUGGACUGGGUGACUAAACAACAGUCACUUGUGUCUCAAGUUCUGGAGGCUAGGAAGUCUAAGAUUAGGGUGGGGCAGAAUAAAUUAUUGGUGAGGAUCUGCUUCCUGAUUUGCAUGUUGGAGAAAGGGCUCUGGCCUCUUCCUCUUCUAAUAACUACAAUAAUUUCAUCAUGGGGGCCCCACCCUCAUAAUCUCAUCUAAACCUAAUUACUUCCCAAGCGCCCCAACUUCAAGCACCAUCACACUGGGGGUUAGGGCUUCAACAUAUGAAUUUGGGGGGGGAUAUAAAAAUUUAGUUUAUAGCACUCAUUUUCAGGUCAAAGAGCCCACUUCCCUAAUCACAUACUUCAAUAACUAGUUAGGUAAUUAUUGUUUUACUCUUUUGUAGAUUAGAUCAGAGACAUUAGGUAACUUGUCCAGGACACACAACAUGCAUUUUUAAUUAAAUUGGAUUUAAUAACCCUUGAACUUUCCAUUUAUAUCAUGCUUAUCUCCAGAAUAGGAUCUCUCCUAAGGAGGCAGAGUGAUUUAAACAAACAUGUGCUGCUUCAAUCUCCUUUACUCCUAAACUUCCAUUGAUAUUGCUAGGGACAAAAAAUUAAGCAAUGAUCUAUUUUAGGAAAUCAAAAUACUGUUCAUUGAAAAGCAGUUUUAAAACAAUUAUUGACAUUUAAUAAAUACAGAAUUUUCAGAGGGCAUCUCUUCUAUUUCAAGGUUACCUCCCAGAAAAACUGACAUUCUAAUUUUCUUCUCUUGAAAGCAAUUAGAAAAAAUGCUAAGAAAUGAUUUUAUAUUUUUUAAAGUAGAGGGCCAAUGAAGUGUCUAACAAAAGGAAAGCAUACAGUAAAUGAAAAAUAAACUAGUUAUCAGAUUGUCUUAUAUCUUUCCUUCAUAGGACAUUGAUACAGACAUCAUCAAAUUCCUGUUUGUAUUGCCUUAUACAUACUUAAAAAACAAGAUAUUUACAAAAAUAUUUUAGAUAUUCCUGUCUAGGAACUAAAAUUACAGCUGAUUUAGAAUUUGCUUAAUUAUUCAGAAGGAAUUGAAGUGAAAUGAGGAAUACAAAUUUACUUGUCCUAAAUUUUUAAAUAAAAUGUAUUAUAUUUUGUAGUCAAUUAUAUAUACCAAAAUAAUGUCUGAAUAAGACGUAAUCCUGUCAUGAGUUCUCUCUUCCAAAAAAGAAUGCAAGAGAAUUGAUUAUCUUAGUUAGACCCCAUUUUUAAGGAAAAAAUACACCCUGUAUGAUACAUUCUUAGAUAUAUGGGUUUGAGAUUAUUAACAUUGAUAAUAGUUUUUUUAAUUCAUCAUCUCUAAAACUCUAAAACUUUAGUGAGAAAGAUAAUAAAUAGAAAAUUACCCUGGAAAUUAAAAUUUUUAGCAAUAUUGAAUACAGUAGUAUAAUUUUUUGUGGCUCUUGAUUUCCUAAGAAAAAUAGUGAUUUUUAUUUAAUGAAAAUUUCUCAAUUUGGUUAAUAUUCUAAGAAAAGAUUGAUAUAUUUAAGCAUGGUGAUUAGAAAAAUAUGCAUAUUUCCUGCUCAUAAUAAAUUUUAAAACAAC